GUUAAUCAUUUAAGAGAGAGAGAGAGAGAUAGAUAGGUGAAAAUGUUGAUAUUAAAAAAUUAUAUAAACAAUUGUUUUAGAUAUAUUAAGUUAAAAAAUAAAGAGAUAAUUGUCUAUAUACCUCGCGUAUGUUUGAAAAUAUUCGAUUUAUUCCUACUUUUUUUUUCUUUCUAAAAUACUCCUCAUAUGUUCCACCGUUAUUGUAAAAUACCCCCACAGUUAUCUCUUUUUAAGUUAACUUUGGUUAAACGUGAGUUAAAUAUCUAACACAGUUAAAAAAAAUUAAAAUAAAUUUUAUCCUUAACUUAAGGGCAAAUAAAAAUGUUGGUGACGGCAGAGGGGUAUAUUGAAAAAGACCAAAAGUUAAAAUACUUUUUGUACCCCUGACUUUAAGGACAAAUAAGAAAGUCAGUGAUAGUGGAAGGGUAUAUUUGAAAGGGUAAAAUAGUAAUUUUACAGAGAUAACUGAAUUAAUUAACAGAUUUUAACUCUAGGGGUAUAUUAGAAAUAGAUUGGAACAUAAAAAUGGUAUUUUCAAUAUUAGCCUUUUAAGAGGGAUAAAUCAGAAAGUCGGAAACUUUUCAGGAAUAUAUAAGCAAUUGCCCCAAAAAUAAAAGAGUUGGCAUAGACUAUUAAA
rnacentral:lncRNA from 1 species